AGUCCGGCGGGGAGCCCGGGGCCGCUCCGGGCUCCUCGGCCGCCGCCUCUUCCGAGAACGCCGCCGCCCCGGGCCCGGCCUCUGCCACCGCCCCCACCGGCGCCCAGCGCACUGCCUCGCACGGCGGAAGCGACUCCUCUUCCUCCUCCUCUUCGUCCUUCGCCUUUGAGCCAACGGCCGCCACCCCCGUUAGCGGCUCCGCAGCCGCUUCGAGAGCCGCCAUGUUUUAGGAAGCACCGCCGCACGUCAGCCUUCACUCCCUUCUUACCUGCAAAGUUUCUUCUGAAAAGUCAGCUGAUAGCCUUAUGGGAGUUUCUUUAAAUCCUCAUUGGCCGACCUCAAUUGGAAACAAGAAGCAUCGUUAUCCUGUUGAUGCAAUCCAUACAGGUAAUGGUGAGUAAGAACCUCCAGGAAGGUGAGCUGGCUCCGGAUCUCUUACAGACUUUCAAGAACUUAACAUAUGGAAGAACAUAAUGUAGUGAACUUCUCUUGUCCUUUGGACUAUUACCCAACCCCUGUGCAUCUGAUACUGGCAUCCUUAUUUUCCUGAAGGAAAUCGCUCUGACACUAAGUGGAUCAGAUACUUUUGAGAUUUCUCUUCCAAACUAAUGAAAAGCAAUCAAUAUUUUCAUGAAUAUUCAAGAUCAAGCCACUUUCCUUGCAUCUGCCACACAAGUUUUGGAAAGCCUAGAAGUUUCUUCACCCCUUGUUGAGAUCUGCAGGAGGGCACUGCACACAGAGGCCUCAUGCUAGGCCCUUCACCCGUGAGCUCCUCCUCGGAAGAGGCUAGGCCAGUGCCUCAGCUCCGAACAGUGCACAGAGGCUCCUGACACUGCGAUUCAAGAUGGCCUGGCUCUCAAGACUUUGGAUUCAGACUGGAAGCUAUACCAUUAGCUCUCUUGGGCCUCCAGCUUGCUCAGUGCAGAUCUUGGGACUUCUCAGCGUCCAGCUUCCAUAACCACAUGAGCCAAUUCCUACCGUGGAUGGCACCCGCUGGUCAUGCUGCGUGUGCUGGGGGUGCCGGGAAUCCCCAUGCCUUCCACCCUCUCUGAGGUCUGGUGUGUGCUCAGCGCACACACUGAAAAGUAAUCCUGACUCCUGCAUCUUUUUUAAAUGAAUUUAUUUUAUCUACUUUAGUGACUUAACAUCUAUAACUCUCUGUUAUUUUCGUGGAGGAUUUUUGGUUCACCUUAUACAGUCAUCCCUCUGUAUCCUCUUGAGGAACUGGUUCCAGGAUGCCCAUGGAUACCAACGUCCCUUAUAUAAAAUGGCACAGUACAGACAGUACUCUGUAUCUGUGGGUUCCACAUCCACAGAGUCAACCAACUGCAGAUUGAAUUCUUAACUUACCUUAGUCUACUUUCAAGUUGUGUUAUGACAUUUCCU